rnacentral:tRNA from 1 species
GGGACAGUACUCAAGAGGCCGAAGAGGUCGCACUGCUAACGCGAUAGGGGAGGAAACUCCCGCGGAGGUUCGAAUCCUCUCUGUCCCG